CGAUGGAAAUACGAAAUUGAUGCUAUAUAUUUUAAUUGAUGUAAAAAAAAAGAAAAACUAAGAAAAGACAAAAUGAAGCUAGUGGUACAGUUUUUAUAUUGAUGCAGAAAAGGAAAAGAAAAGAGACAAUAAGAAGAAAAGCGAUGGAAAUAUGAAAUUGAUGCUAUAUAUUUUAAUUGAUGUAAAAAAGAAAAAACUAUGAAAAGACAAAAUAAAGCUAGUGGUACAGUUUUUAUAUUGAUGCAGAAAAGGAAAAGAAAAGAAAAGAAAAGCGAUGGAAAUACGAAAUUGAUGCUAUGUAUUUUAAUUGAUGUAAAAAAAAGAAAAAAACUAUGAAAAGACAAAAUAAAACUAGUGGUACAGUUUUUAUAUUGAUGCAGAAAAAGAAGAAAAAAAAAGAAAAAGAAAGCUUAAAAGACAAAAUAUAAUGCUAAAUAUUGAUAUUGAUGAGGAAGAAAAGGAAGAAAAUAAAACUGGAAAGGGAAAAAAACAAUGCUACAUGUUUCUAGUGAUGCAAAAAAAAAAAGAAGUAGCUGAAGAAAGUAGAAAAAAUGGAAAGACAAAACCGAUUCUACCUUCCAAUUUACACUAACGCAGAAAGAGAAAGAAAAAGAAAACAAAACAAAAGACAAAUGGACGCUGGAUAUAUUUCAACGGAAGCAAAAUAAAUAAAUAAAUAAAUAAAAAUAUGGAGAGACAAAACGACGGUACAUAUACAUAUUCUAUCGAUGCAAAAGUUGGUGAUGAUAACAAUUCAGAUCAGGAACAAAGUGCACAAAAAGAAAUAAACUCACCUUCCGCAACCCUUAGUCCGACGGCAGCGUUAGUAUUAGUGUAAGUGUGUUUGUAAGUACGUGUUUGCCGGUUACCAUUAACUUUACCGUAUAUUUCAUGCACAAAACUGUAUUAAAAUAAGCGUGUCGGAAGUCAUAGUUUAUAGGUUAGUUUAUACGAUUUCACUGGUGUGUGCGUGUGUCUGUGUGUGCGUGUGUGUGUGUGUGUGUGUGUGAGCCCCUAUUGUGUAUUGUAAAUAAUCCAUAAAUAAGAUUUACACUCCCUUCUCUAUACUUAUACAACUUUUUCAGUCAUUCGCAUAACCCUGUCGCAUAAGCCCCGCCCCCUCCCAGCAGCCUCCACCAAUCACAGCCAGCCAUUCACUGCUCUGGGAAGGGGCGGGGCAGAGCUUGUGUCAAGUUAACCAAUUAUAUUCUCUAUGGGAAAAAGGAGGGAGGGGCCUAUUUGCUCUCCUAGCCAAUCAAAUGCAUUAUUUUGAAAAAGGGGAGGGGCCUAAAACUCGUGUCAGCCAAUCAUAUGCUCUGUACAGAAAAAGGGGAGGGGCUUAUUCUUUAGAAAGGGAGAGUGGGAGGAGUUUAAGGUUGGUGUUUUGAAUCUCUUUGUGUGAAGUGGAGGGAAGAGGAAAGAAAGGGAGGAAGGGAGGGAGGGAGAAGAGAAAGGUGGUGAGGGCAGGAAGGAGGAAAGGGAGAAAGAAAGAUUAGUGAGAAAGGGAGAAAAGAAAAUGUAAAUAAAGGGAGGGAAUAGAAAAGAAAGGCUAAGGAGCAAGAAAGAGAGGUCAAAGAAGGAAGAGGAAGGAAAGGGUAAGAAGGAAGAGAAGGAGGAAAAAAGGAACGUCAGUGUCAAAUCUUUAGAGCAAUUUGGAAGAGGAAAAAAAAGUGAAUGGGAGAGAAAGAGGAAAGAAAGGGAGGAGGGAAGAAAGGCGAGGAAAGAGGGAGGGAAGAAGGGAAGGAGAAAAAAAAGGGAAUGGGAGAGAAAGAGGAAAGAAAGGGAGGAGGGAAGAAAGGCGAGGAAAGAGGGAGGGAAGAAGGGAAGGAGAAAAAAAAGGGAAUGGGAGAGAAAGAGGAAAGAAAGGGAGGAGGGAAGAAAGGCGAGGAAAGAGGGAGGGAAGGGAAGGAGAAAAAAAAGGGAAAGGGAGAGAAAGAGGAAAGAAAGGGAGGAGGGAAGAAAGGCGAGGAAAGAGGGAGGGAAGAAGGGAAGGAGAAAAAAAAGUGAAUGGGAGAGAAAGAGGAAAGAAAGGGAGGAGGGAAGAAAGGCGAGGAAAGAGGGAGGGAAGAAGGGAAGGAGAAAAAAAAGGGAAUGGGAGAGAGAGAAGGAAGAAAGAAAGAGAGAGGAGAAAUGGAGGAAAGAAAGCCAGGGAGGGAGGGAAAAAGAAACAUAGGAGGAAAAGAAAAAAAUUAAAACAAGUUACCAAUACAUCUCUUAACAAUUACCGAACGGAAAAUUACGUACCGGAAUACACUAACAAAGCACCUUCCGUAACCUUUCAUUUCAAUCCCUAUUAUUAUUACUAUCUUAUUUCCGUGUGCGCUUAUCACAGCGUAUACAUGUGUGCGUAGUUUCGGAAGGACCUGGUUAUGUAUACUUACUUUACUGUGCCCGAAAAUGUGUGUUCGUAUUAUUAGAUUUAUGGAUUGUAUUAGAGCGAUCGGACUGCGCUGUAUUGGUCUAUAGAUUUUGUUGUAUAAGAUGAUUAAGUGUGUAUGUAUUGCUUCCUUCCUUUAUUCUGUAUGUAUAUGUAUGAUUAAUUUUUGUUUGUUUAUUUGUUUGUUUUGUAUUUUUAAGGUCGUGAGUGCAUAGUUUUUGUCGUGAUUUUUUUUUUUUUUUUUUUUUUUUUCCGGCAAUCGAAAUAUCAGAAGCCCUUUACCAAAUCAAUUUCUCUUUCUUAUUUUCUUAUAUAUCUUGUUACUAAUUGCCUUCAAGAUAUCACAAGCCCACAGCCAAAUCAGCUUCUCUUUCUUAUUUUCUUAUAUAUCUUGUUACUUAUUGCAUUCAAGAUAUCACAAGCCCUUUACCAAAUCAAUUUCUCUUUCAUGUUUUCUUUAUCUUGUUACUUAUUGCCUUCAAGAUAUCACAAGCCCACAGCCAAAUCAGCUUUCCUUUCUUAUUUUCUUAUAUAUCUUGUUACUAAUUGCAUUCAAGAUAUCACAAGCCCACAGCCAAAUCAGCUUCUCUCUCUUAUUUUAUUAUAUAUCUUGUUACUUAUUGCAUUCAAGAUAUCACAAGCCCUUUACCAAAUCAAUUUCUCUUUCAUGUUUUCUUUAUCUUGUUACUUAUUGCCUUCAAGAUAUCACAAGCCCACAACCAAAUCAGCUUCUCUCUCUUAUUUUCUUAUAUAUCUUGUUACUUAUUGCAUUCAAGAUAUCACAAGCCCACAGCCAAAUCAGCUUCUCUUUCUUAUUUUCUUAUAUAUCUUGUUACUUAUUGCCUUCAAGAUAUCACAAGCCCACGGCCAAAUCAGCUUUCUCUUUCUUAUUUUCUUAUAUAUCUUGUUACUUAUUGCCUUCAAGAUAUCACAAGCCCACAGCCAAAGCAAUUUUUCUUUCUUAUUUUUUCUUAUUUUCUUAUUUUUUUCUUUGCGUACUUGUAUAACUGUUUUUUCACUUUCUUAAUCUCCUGUAAUAUCCACAAUGCCAUAAAUAUUUCUGUACUCAACCGUAUGACCACAAUUCUCAGUCUAUUAUUAUAUUUCUCUAACUCACAUUAUUCAGUUUCUUAAUCUACGGUAACAUCCACAAUGCCAUAAUUUUUCUGUACUCAACCGUAUGAUCACAAUUCUCAGUCUAAUUAUAUUUCUUUUUAGCUUUUUCAAUCACAUAUUUCUUUUACUAACGCUAGAUUAUCCCUUUUCUUAAUCUACUGUAAUAUUGACAAUGCCAUAUUUUUUUCUGUACCCAACCCUGUCAUUACAAUUCUCAGUCUUAAUAUUUUUCUUUUUAGCUUUUCAAUCACAUAUUUCUUUUACUAACUCAAAUUAUCCCUUUUCUUAAUCUACUGUAACAUCCAUAAUGCCAUAAUUUUUCUGAACUCAACUGUAUGGUCACAAUUCUCAGUCUUAAUAUUUUUCUUUUUAGCUUUUUCGAUCACAUAUUUCUUUUACUAACUCUAGAUUAUCCCUUUUCUUAAUCUCCUGUAACAUCCACAAUGCCAUAUUUUUUUCUGUACCCAACCCUUUCAUUACAAUUCUCAGUCUUAAUAUUUUUCCUUUUAUUUAUUCAAUCACAUAUCUCUUUUACUAACUCAAGAUAAUUCCCUUUCUUAAUCUACUGUAACAUCCAUAACGCCACGAUUUUUCUGUACUGAGCCGUAUGACCACAAUUCGCAGUCGUAUCAUUUUUCCCUAUGCAGAUCUUCCACCAUUCCAAAGACAGAUUUAAUAAUGCAAAGUCUAUACCAUUAGUUCAUUUAUUAUUAUUAUUAUUAUGUAGAAUCUAAACCCCUAUGAAGGCAUCUGCUCCUCUCGGCGGGACACUGUGUAUUUUUAAGCGCUUCGGUAGAUUGUAGGAUUUGUAAGCUAAGGAGGAUUUAUAUAAGGAACGCUGAGAGACGGUGUUUGUAAAUAUAGAUCGUAAGUUUGGAAAGUCC